GACAAACGCUGGCGGUAUGCCUAACACAUGCAAGUCGAACGGACAGAACAGGGAAGCUUUUCGGAGUGGAACUGGAAAGUUAGUGGCGGAUGGGUGAGUAACGCGUGGACAACCUACCUUGUAAAGGGGAAUAACCUCGAGAAAUCGAAGCUAAUACCCCAUAAUAACCUUGCUUCGCAUGAAGUAAGGAGGAAAGGCGGCCUUAGCGCUGUCGAUACAAGAUGGGUCCGCGUCUGAUUAGCUAGUUGGUGAGGUAAAGGCUCACCAAGGCGACGAUCAGUAGCCGGCCUGAGAGGGUGAACGGCCACAUUGGGACUGAGACACGGCCCAAACUCCUACGGGAGGCAGCAGUGGGGAAUCUUCCGCAAUGGGCGAAAGCCUGACGGAGCAAUGCCGCGUGAGUGAAGAAGGCCUUCGGGUUGUAAAACUCUGUCCUUAUCGAAGAGAGAGUGUUGUAGUAACUGACAAUACUAGGACGGUAGAUGAGGAGGAAGCCCCGGCUAACUAUGUG
rnacentral:rRNA from 1 species